GCUGAUGAAACGAACCUCAGACGAUUAGGGCUAGUGGUCGUCAUAAUUCAGAGAUUGAGAAUUCAGAACGAAAACGAUGUUGAUAGUUGACGGAUAGUCAUGAGGCUGGACGCAAAAGGAAACGUCACAAAAACAAGUGUUAGAGGUAGCAAAGCGAUGGGAAAAUCAAACGUUUUCCAAACAAGACUAAGAAUUCCCUAAGCAAAAAAUCUUCGAACGCCGUGGAUUGUUCGAUUCUAUAGCUGAAUCGACGUGACAAAUUAGCGGGCUGAUGCUGUGCCCUUUAAGAGCCAAGAAGAAGUUUUGCAGAACGAUCAUGGCCAAAAAAAAGCAUCCAUCGGCUCGACGUCGACUUCAGUACUCGGCCUAAGCAACGCUUUCGAAGACCAUUACAUCUAUUUACCAAGAGGAAUUUUUGAGAAACCUAACAAAGUUACAGGUCCUGUGACAUUGGUCACAGCGUCAUUAUCUCAGUAAUCCUCGUGCAUCGUACAAUCCCAAGACUAACUGCAAGGCAUGCGCAUUCCACCAUUGUCGCACGAUCUUAAGAAUCUUGUCUGAAAACAUCUGACAGGAUCAAGAGGACAACUAACCGAUGGGUAUCCGAAGUUUUUCCUUGGCGAGCACCUCGUGCGCGCUGUACGCCAGUGCUCCGAGAGCCCCCACUAACACCCAGUGCAG
rnacentral:lncRNA from 1 species